CUACGGGUGGCAGCAGUGAGGAAUAUUGGUCAAUGGUCGGGAGACUGAACCAGCCAAGCCGCGUGAGGGAUGAAGGUACAGAGUAUCGUAAACCUCUUUUGUCAGGGAACAAAGGCGGGGACGUGUCCCCGGAUGAGUGUACCUGAAGAAAAAGCAUCGGCUAACUCCGUGCCAGCAGCCGCGGUAAUACGGAGGAUGCGAGCGUUAUCCGGAUUUAUUGGGUUUAAAGGGUGCGCAGGCGGUGUGUUAAGUCAGCGGGAAAGGCCGGGGGCUCAACCCCGUACCGCCGUUGAAACUGGCAGGCUCGAGUUGGAGAGAGGUAUGCGGAAUGCGCGGUGUAGCGGUGAAAUGCAUAGAUAUCGCGCAGAACUCCGGUUGCGAAGGCAGCAUGCCGGCUCCACACUGACGCAGGGGCACGAAGGCGUGGGUAUCGAACAGGAUUAGAUACCCGUGUAGUC
rnacentral:rRNA from 1 species